rnacentral:lncRNA from 1 species
AAUUGUACUCCGCAUAACAGUUACAGGGACAUGGAAAUACUCGGCGUCCAUCCUUCCACCUAUCCGGUCUUGUUAGCACUCUCAUGAGUACAAUAUUAAACUUAUACUAUAUCAGCAAUAUCUUGGAAGAGUUCUUAAAUGGCGAAUGAUCGAUUUUUUUAGAAGAGUUAUUCCCCUUAGAAAUUUUAAAAUUUAUGGAAAAUGGCC